rnacentral:rRNA from 1 species
ACACGUAAGGUGCGAGCGUUGUUCGGAAUCACUGGGCGUAAAGGACGCGUAGGCGGGUUUGUAAGUCAGGUGUGAAAUCCUACAGCUCAACUGUAGAACUGCACUUGAAACUACAGACCUAGAGUAUGGAAGGGGCAGAUGGAAUUAGUGGUGUAGGGGUAAAAUCCGUAGAUAUCACUAGGAAUACCGAAAGCGAAGGCGAUCUGCUGGGACAUUACUGACGCUGAGGCGUGAAAGCGUGGGGAGCAAACAGGAUUAGAAACCCCAGUAGUCC